AUUGAACGCUGGCGGCAGGCCUAACACAUGCAAGUCGAGCGGAAGCAGGGUGCUUGCUCCUGGAUUCAGCGGCGGACGGGCGGGUAAUGCAUGGGAAUAUGCCUGGUAGUGGGGGAUAACGUGCGGACACGGGGGAUAAUACCGCAUACGCCCUGAGGGCGUACGUGGGGGAUCUUCGGACCUUACGACAUUAGACGAGUCUAGGUCGGAUUAGCUAGUUGGUGGGGUAAAGGCCUACAAAGGCGACGAUCCGUAACUGGUCAGAGUGGAUGAUCAGUCACACUGGAACUGAGACACGGUCCAGACUCCUACGGGAGGCAGCAGUGGGGAAUAUUGGACAAUGGGCGAAAGCCUGAUCCAGCCAUGCCGCGUGGGUGAAGAAGGACUUCGGAUUGUAAAGCACUUUAAGUUGGAAGGAAGGGCAGUAAGUUAAUACCUUGCUGUUUUGACGUUACCAACAGAAUAAGCACCGGCUAACUUCGUG
rnacentral:rRNA from 1 species